AACGAACGCUGGCGGCAGGCUUAACACAUGCAAGUCGAGCGCCUCGCCAGAGGAGCGGCAGACGGGUGAGUAACGCGUGGGAACGUACCCUUAUCUUCGGAAUAGCUCUGGGAAACUGGAAGUAAUACCGAAUGUGCCCUUAGGGGGAAAGAUUUAUCGGAUAAGGAUCGGCCCGCGUUGGAUUAGCUAGUUGGUGGGGUAAAGGCCUACCAAGGCGACGAUCCAUAGCUGGUCUGAGAGGAUGAUCAGCCACAUUGGGACUGAGACACGGCCCAAACUCCUCCGGGAGGCAGCGGGGGGGAAUAUGGGAAAGGGGGCCAAAGCCGGACCCCCCCAGGCGGGGGGAGUGAUAAGGGCCUGAGGUUAGUAAAGCUCUUUCCCCGGAGAAGAUAAUGAGGGUAGCGGGAAAAAAGGCCCGGGCAAACUUGGUC
rnacentral:rRNA from 1 species